GUUUGCACUCAUCGGGGAAGGGUGAGAACCUUCAACUAAGGUUCGAUUCGAGCGAAAGCGAGAGAACGUUGCCACAGGCAACGGCCCAAAGGGUGAGGAGCGAAGCGACGAAUAAUCCUUCCCCCACCACCA
rnacentral:sRNA from 1 species